rnacentral:lncRNA from 1 species
CUGAACUAAAUUCCCUCACCAUCUUCAAGACUAACCCACAAUCACAGGGUACACCACAUAACACUGUACUACUAGUCUGAACCAUAAUCCAACACACCCUGUACUUCACAACUUCUCAUCUCAUGAAAAUCCUCAUUACUCCUCCAACAACCACAUUCAACCCCGUACUAGACAUUUUAAUAAUGUGCAGUGCAUUCAUCUAAAUAUACAAACAUGAUGUUCAAGACUCACUUCUAUAACCACAUGCACUUCUAAACACACUCCCCU